rnacentral:rRNA from 1 species
GAUGAACGCUGGCGGCGUGCCUAAUACAUGCAAGUCGAGCGAACAGACGAGGAGCUUGCUCCUCUGACGUUAGCGGCGGACGGGUGAGUAACACGUGGAUACCCUACCUAUAAGACUGGGAUAACUUCGGGAAACCGGAGCUAAUACCGGAAAAUAUAUUGAACCGCAUGGUUCAAUAGUGAAAGACGGUUUUGCUGUCACUUAUAGAUGGAUCCGCGCCGAAUUAGCUAGUUGGUAAGGUAACGGCUGACCAAGGCGACGAUGCGUAGCCGACCUGAGAGGGUGAUCGGCCACACUGGAACUGAGACACGGCCCAAACUCCUACGGGAGGCAGCAGUAGGGAAUCUUCCGAAAUGGGCGAAGGCCUGACGGAGAAACGCCGCGUGAGUGAGGAAGGUCUUCGGAUCGUAAAACUCUGUUAUUAGGGAAGAACAAAGGUGUAAGUAACUAUGCACGUCUUGACGGUACCUAAUCAGAAAGCCACGGCUAACUACGUG